rnacentral:rRNA from 1 species
GUCUACGGCCAUGCCACCCUGAACAAGCCCGAUCCCGUCUGAUCUCAGAAGCUAAGCAAGGUCAGGCCUGGUUAGCACUUGGAUGGGAGACCACCUAGGAAGAUCAGGUGCUGCAGGCA